CAUGGAGUUGUCAGUUGGAGGACUCGCCUUUCCUUUCUCUCCCAGCCUUGAGGAGGAGGUUGUUUGCCAGCAGCUUCCCAAGGCACGGAAGCUUGGCUAAGGGCCCACUUGCUCUCAACCCAGCUCGGCUCUCCCCCAGCCUCUGACACACCCCCCAUUCGUUAACCACCGCUGUUCUGUCUCCUGGACUUCUCUUCGCACAGUGCACGGGAUGCAGAAACGAAGACACAGAGAAGUUAAGUAACUUGCUCAACGCCACACAUAGCCGAGAUUCCAAAGCAGGUGAACUGACCCCAGG